rnacentral:rRNA from 1 species
GAGGAAUAUUGGUCAAUGGACGAGAGUCUGAACCAGCCAAGUAGCGUGAAGGAUGACUGCCCUAUGGGUUGUAAACUUCUUUUAUACGGGAAUAAAGUGAGGCACGUGUGCCUUUUUGUAUGUACCGUAUGAAUAAGGAUCGGCUAACUCCGUGCCAGCAGCCGCGGUAAUACGGAGGAUCCGAGCGUUAUCCGGAUUUAUUGGGUUUAAAGGGAGCGUAGGCGGACGCUUAAGUCAGUUGUGAAAGUUUGCGGCUCAACCGUAAAAUUGCAGUUGAUACUGGGUGUCUUGAGUACAGUAGAGGCAGGCGGAAUUCGUGGUGUAGCGGUGAAAUGCUUAGAUAUCACGAAGAACUCCGAUUGCGAAGGCAGCUUGCUGGACUGUAACUGACGCUGAUGCUCGAAAGUGUGGGUAUCAAACAGGAUUAGAUACCCUGGUAGUCCACACAGUAAACGAUGAAUACUCGCUGUUUGCGAUAUACAGUAAGCGGCCAAGCGAAAGCGUUAAGUAUUCCACCUGGGGAGUACGCCGGCAACGGUGAAACUCAAAGGAAUUGACGGGGGCCCGCACAAGCGGAGGAACAUGUGGUUUAAUUCGAUGAUACGCGAGGAACCUUACCCGGGCUUGAAUUGCAACUGAAUGAUGUGGAGACAUGUCAGCCGCAAGGCAGUUGUGAAGGUGCUGCAUGGUUGUCGUCAGCUCGUGCCGUGAGGUGUCGGCUUAAGUGCCAUAACGAGCGCAACCCUUAUCGAUAGUUACCAUCAGGUUAUGCUGGGGACUCUGUCGAGACUGCCGUCGUAAGAUGUGAGGAAGGUGGGGAUGACGUCAAAUCAGCACGGCCCUUACGUCCGGGGCUACACACGUGUUACAAUGGGGGGUACAGAAGGCAGCUACACGGCGACGCGAUGCUAAUCCCGAAAGCCUCUCUCAGUUCGGAUUGGAGUCUGCAACCCGACUCCAUGAAGCUGGAUUCGCUAGUAAUCGCGCAUCAGCCACGGCGCGGUGAAUACGUUCCCG